ensembl:lncRNA
GCCACGGAGAGCAGUCACUGGCGAAGGAUCGCCAGCCACUUACCAGUGCGAGGCCAGGCUCCCCCGUCCUUGCUCCGCAGCUGCCGGCUGCCGGCUCCCUUGCUCCCGCCAGUCCGCACAGUUCAGCCUGAGCAGUUCCCAGGGUCCUUUCCAGCCUGUGGCAGGAGGGGACUGCGGAGUUUUUAAUCAUUCAGAGGGACUCCUCCAGCUUGCCCUGCCUCUCCCAGAAGAGGGGGCCCAGGAAAAUACUACACGUCCAUUAAUCCAUCUCAGAAUAUUCAACCUUGUUUUGGAGACACUUAUCCCACUCUUUUUGCCACUUUCUGAAGCAGACAUGAAUUUUAAUUAACCCAACAGAAGCUGACAAUAAGAUUAUUAGUAUGAAAUGGUCAAAAACUUAAAACUUUCACACUAGAAUCAGGAACAAGACAAGGAUGCCGACUAUCACCACUCCUG